rnacentral:RNase_P_RNA from 2 species
GCGUUCAUUACAGAUGAUCGCUUUGCCCGCCGUAGCUUUUAAACGCGGCGGACGAAGAGGAAAGUCCGAACUCCUCAUUUAGAGCGCCCUGCGGUGCUCCGCAAUGAAAGCGGCAGUGGGUAACGCCCACCCUCGGCCCGGCGACGGGCUAGAGCGGGACAGUGUCCCCUCACGGGGAUCCGGGGUCUUUGGCCCCGGGCCACAGAGACUAUACUAUCCCGACUCUGUCGGGAGAAAGGUGAAAAGCGUACGGAAGUUUUUGCUCUCGAGUCAAAAGCUACCGUACUUUCCCUACCGGCUCUGCCGGCAGGGAAUGGCAAACCCUGCCUGGAGAAAGAGCAGCGUCCCGGCACCAUACGGUGCCAGGCAGGCCCACUGUGUUUAUGCAUGGGCCCGCCCGGUACCGUCUGGUACCGGGGUCGAAAAGUUAGUUCGUUUGAACCCGCGAGCGAUCUCGGGUCUAGAUAAAUGAUCAUCGUCCCCAGCGCCUGGCGGUACUAGGGAAACAAAAUUCGGCUUACGUGAUGGACGCACAC